GAUGAACGCUGGCGGCGUGCUUAACACAUGCAAGUCGAACGUGAGUGUAGCAAUACAUGAAAGUGGCAAACGGGUGAGUAACACGUAGGUGACCUGCCUUAGAGAGGGGGAUAACCACGGGAAACUGUGGCUAAUACCGCAUGGUCCAAGGUUAAUGGGAAUUGAUUUUGGUAAAACUGAGGUGCUCUAAGAGGGGCCUGCGUCCGAUUAGCUAGUUGGUAGGGUAACGGCCUACCAAGGCGAUGAUCGGUAGCUGGUCUGAGAGGACGAUCAGCCACACGGGAACUGAGACACGGUCCCGACUCCUACGGGGGGCAGCAGUGAGGAAUAUUGGACAAUGGGCGCAAGCCUGAUCCAGCAACGCCGCGUGGAGGAAGACGGCCUUCGGGUUGUAAACUUCUUUUUGGGGGGACAAGGAAGGAUGGUACCCCUAGAAUAAGUCACGGCUAACUACGUG
rnacentral:rRNA from 1 species